rnacentral:rRNA from 1 species
GAUGAACGCUGGCGGCGUGCCUAAUACAUGCAAGUCGAGCGAACAGACGAGGAGCUUGCUCCUCUGACGUUAGCGGCGGACGGGUGAGUAACACGUGGAUAACCUACCUAUAAGACUGGGAUAACUUCGGGAAACCGGAGCUAAUACCGGCAAAUAUAUUGAACCGCAUGGUUCAAUAGUGAAAGACGGUUUUGCUGUCACUUAUAGAUGGAUCCGCGCCGCAUUAGCUAGUUGGUAAGGUAACGGCCUACCAAGGCAACGAUGCGUAGCUGACCUGAGAGGGUGAUCGGCCACACUGGAACUGAGACACGGUCCAGACUCCUACGGGAGGCAGCAGUAGGGAAUCUUCCGCAAUGGGCGAAAGCCUGACGCAGCAAUGCCGCGUGAGUGAUGAAGGUCUUCGGAUCGUAAAACUCUUUUAUUAGGGAAGAACAAAUGUGUAAGUAACUAUGCACGUCUUGACGGUACCUAAUCAGAAAGCCACGGCUAACUACGUG